rnacentral:rRNA from 1 species
ACGAGUGGCGGACGGGUGAGUAACGCGUAGGAAUCUGCCCAAUAGUGGGGGACAACCCGGAGAAAUCCGGGCUAAUACCGCAUACGCCCUACGGGGGAAAGGAGGGGAUCUCUUUGGAGACCUUUCGCUAUUGGAUGAGCCUGCGUCGGAUUAGCUUGUUGGUAGGGUAACGGCCUACCAAGGCGACGAUCCGUAGCUGGUCUGAGAGGACGAUCAGCCACACUGGGACUGAGACACGGCCCAG